rnacentral:rRNA from 1 species
ACGAACGCUGGCGGCGUGCUUAACACAUGCAAGUCGAACGGAAAGGCCUGCUUUCCCUUGUGGAUUGCGGGUACUCGAGUGGCGAACGGGUGAGUAACACGUGAGUGAUCUGCCCCCAACUUGGGUAUAAGCCUGGGAAACUGGGUCUAAUUCCCGAUAGGACUGCAGGGUGGUGCCUGUGGUGGAAAACGAUUUUCUAGUGGUUGGGGAUGAGCUCGCGGCCUAUCAGCUUGUUGGUGGGGUAAUGGCCUACCAAGGCGGCGACGGGUAGCCGGCCUGAGAGGGUGGACGGCCACAUUGGGACUGAGAUACGGCCCAGACUCCUACGGGAGGCAGCAGUGGGGAAUAUUGCACAAUGGGCGGAGGCCUGAUGCAGCGACGCCGCGUGGGGGAUGACGGCCUUCGGGUUGUAAACUCCUUUCGACCGCGAGGAAGCCACCUGGUUGGAAGGGUGGUGACGGUAGUGGUAGAAGAAGCACCGGCUAACUACGUG